rnacentral:rRNA from 1 species
GCGAGUCAUUGUAGCAUACAAGGCAGACGGCUCAGUAACGCGUAGUCAACCUACCCUAUGGACGGGGAUAACCUCGGGAAACUGAGAAUAAUACCCGAUAGAACAUUAUACCUGGAAUGGUUUAUGUUUCAAAUAAUUUAUUGCCGUAGGAUGGGACUGCGGCCUAUCAGUUUGUUGGUGAGGUAAUGGCCCACCAAGACUAUUACAGGUACGGGCUCUGAGAGGAGUAGCCCGGAGAUGGGUACUGAGACACGGACCCAGGCCCUAUGGGGCGCAGCAGGCGAGAAAACUUUGCAAUGUGCGAAAGCACGACAAGGUUAAUCCGAGUGGUUUCUGCUAAAGGAACCUUUUGUCAGUCCUAGAAACACUGUUGAAUAAGGGGUGGGCAAGUUCUGGUGUCAGCCGCCGCGGUAAAACCAGCACCUCAAGUGGUCAGGAUGAUUAUUGGGCCUAAAGCAUCCGUAGCCUGCUUUGUAAGUUUUCGGUUAAAUCCAUACGCUUAACGUAUGGGCUGCCGGGAAUACUGCAAAGCUAGGGAGUGGGAGAGGUAGACGGUACUCGGUAGGAAGGGGUAAAAUCCUUUGAUCUAUUGAUGACCACCUGUGGCGAAGGCGGUCUACCAGAACACGUCCGACGGUGAGGGAUAAAAGCUGGGGGAGCAAACCGGAUUAGAUACCCGGGUAGUCCCAGCUGUAAACUAUGCAAACUCGGUGAUGCAUUGGCUUGAUGCCAAUGCAGUGCCGCA